rnacentral:pre_miRNA from 1 species
AGUACAAUUGCUGGGUAAUAUGGUAAUUGCAUAUUUAGCUUUAUAAGAAACUGCCAAACUGCUCUCUAGAGUGACUGUACCAUUUUACAUUCCCUCCAGCAAU